CUGGUCGAGUCGGCCUGCGCGGAAGAUGUAACGGGGCUAAACCAUGCACCGAAGCUGCGGCAGCGAACGUAUCACUUAAAGCGAUUCAGCGGGUUACGAUUGACGGAGCGAAGCGACGUCAAAGCGUAUACAAAGUCGAGUCGGUUUAAGGAUACGUUCGUUGGGUAGGGGAGCGUUCUGUAAGCCUGUGAAGGUGGCCUGUGAGGGUUGCUGGAGGUAUCAGAAGUGCGAAUGCUGACAUAAGUAACGAUAAAGCGGGUGAAAAGCCCGCUCGCCGGAAGACCAAGGGUUCCUGUCCAACGUUAAUCGGGGCAGGGUGAGUCGACCCCUAAGGCGAGGCCGAAAGGCGUAGUCGAUGGGAAACGGGUUAAUAUUCCCGUACUUGGUGUUACUGCGAAGGGGGGACGGAGAAGGCUAUGUUGGCCGGGCGACGGUUGUCCCGGUUUAAGCGUGUAGGCUGGUUUUCCAGGCAAAUCCGGUUCACUUUAACACUGAGGCGUGACGACGAGGCACUACGGUGCUGAAGCAACAAAUGCCCUGCUUCCAGGAAAAGCCUCUAAGCAUCAGGUAACAUCAAAUCGUACCCCAAACCGACACAGGUGGUCAGGUAGAGAAUACCAAGGCGCUUGAGAGAACUCGGGUGAAGGAACUAGGCAAAAUGGUGCCGUAACUUCGGGAGAAGGCACGCUGACACGUAGGUGAAGUGAUUUACUCAUGGAGCUGAAGUCAGUCGAAGAUACCAGCUGGCUGCAACUGUUUAUUAAAAACACAGCACUGUGCAAACACGAAAGUGGACGUAUACGGUGUGACGCCUGCCCGGUGCCGGAAGGUUAAUUGAUGGGGUCAGCGCAAGCGAAGCUCCUGAUCGAAGCCCCGGUAAACGGCGGCCGUAACUAUAACGGUCCUAAGGUAGCGAAAUUCCUUGUCGGGUAAGUUCCGACCUGCACGAAUGGCGUAAUGAUGGCCAGGCUGUCUCCACCCGAGACUCAGUGAAAUUGAACUCGCUGUGAAGAUGCAGUGUACCCGCGGCAAGACGGAAAGACCCCGUGAACCUUUACUAUAGCUUGACACUGAACAUUGAGCCUUGAUGUGUAGGAUAGGUGGGAGGCUUUGAAGUGUGGACGCCAGUCUGCAUGGAGCCGACCUUGAAAUACCACCCUUUAAUGUUUGAUGUUCUAACGUGGACCCGUAAUCCGGGUUGCGGACAGUGUCUGGUGGGUAGUUUGACUGGGGCGGUCUCCUCCUAAAGAGUAACGGAGGAGCACGAAGGUUGGCUAAUCCUGGUCGGACAUCAGGAGGUUAGUGCAAUGGCAUAAGCCAGCUUGACUGCGAGCGUGACGGCGCGAGCAGGUGCGAAAGCAGGUCAUAGUGAUCCGGUGGUUCUGAAUGGAAGGGCCAUCGCUCAACGGAUAAAAGGUACUCCGGGGAUAACAGGCUGAUACCGCCCAAGAGUUCAUAUCGACGGCGGUGUUUGGCACCUCGAUGUCGGCUCAUCACAUCCUGGGGCUGAAGUAGGUCCCAAGGGUAUGGCUGUUCGCCAUUUAAAGUGGUACGCGAGCUGGGUUUAGAACGUCGUGAGACAGUUCGGUCCCUAUCUGCCGUGGGCGCUGGAGAACUGAGGGGGGCUGCUCCUAGUACGAGAGGACCGGAGUGGACGCAUCACUGGUGUUCGGGUUGUCAUGCCAAUGGCACUGCCCGGUAGCUAAAUGCGGAAGAGAUAAGUGCUGAAAGCAUCUAAGCACGAAACUUGCCCCGAGAUGAGUUCUCCCUGAGACUUAGAGUCUCCUGAAGGAACGUUGAAGACGACGACGUUGAUAGGCCGGGUGUGUAAGCGCAGCGAUGCGUUGAGCUAACCGGUACUAAUGAACCGUGAGGCUUAACCUU
rnacentral:rRNA from 1 species